GUAAAGCACAUCACCAUUCAGUUAGAAGUUUCCAGCUAAUCUUCUCAAAGUCUUCUUAUCUUUCAAAGAUGCCCCUGACGAGUAAAUCUGACUUUGGAGGAAACACUUGAUAUCAAAAUACCACGGCUUUUCAUCUUUGACCUCUUCAACAGCAAAUACAUGAGUUGUCCUAUCAAGACGCAUUACAGUCAGAUUAUGAACUUCAUUCCAGAAUUU
rnacentral:lncRNA from 1 species